CCCGCCCACCCGGCUGAAAGGGCCGCCGGCGCCGCGGCGCAGCGUCCUGCCUUCGGAUUCGGGCCGGCGCCGCCCGUGACCGGCGCCGCGCGCGGAGGACGCCAUGCGCGCGCGCCCGGGCCAGUGACAGCCUCCGGGAUGGACGGCGGCUCCGUCUCGGGAGAGGGGCCGAAGCGCCCGCCGGACCGCCGGCGGUUUCUGCUCUUCUUACUCGCCAGCCGCUGCGGAAGCCCGGGCGGCGUCCCGGCGCGUCGCUGCCUGUCCGCGCUCGCCCAGGGUCUGGAGGCACUGGGCCCCGGCGCCCCCGCGGCCCGCGCCGCGUCACGUGCCUCGGCGCUGUGCCUCCUGGUGCAGGUGCCGGUCCCGCGCCGGGCCGCCGCCGCCCCGCGCCGGCCGCCGGGAGAGCGGGAGCGCGCGCGCCUGGGGCCCUCGGCUCCCCCCGCCGGGCGCUGCUGCGCGUGGAGGUGCCAGCCCGGCCUCGUCCCGGGCGUCGCCUGCGCCGCGGGCCCCCUGCACCAGUGCCAGGGCCGAGUGCCCGCCCUCGCUGCCACCCGGAGAGAGCUAAGCCUUUCUGCUGGGUGCCUACAGUUGGAGCACAAACGCGGAGAUUUCACCUCCUCUGGGAGUAGGAAGCUCUACUUUGACACUCAUGCCUUAGUGUGUUUACUCGAAGAAAAUGGGUUUACUACUCAACAAGCAGAAAUCAUUGUAUCUGCAUUGGUGAAGAUCACGGAGGCCAACAUGGGUAUCGUCUACAAAGACAUGGUCACCAAGAUGCAACAGGAGGUCACUCUUCAGCAAAUAAUGUCUCAGAUUUCUAACGUGAAAAAAGAUAUGAUUAUUUUGGAGAAGAGUGAAUUUUCAGCCCUCAGAGCAGAAAAUGAGAAAAUAAAACUUGAACUACAUCAGUUAAAACAACAAAUAAUGGAUGAAGUGGUCAAGGUCCGAACAGAGUCCAAAUUAGACUUCAAUCUAGAAAAGAGCAGAGUAAAAGAAUUGGCCAGAAUUUGAAGGUAUGAAGAAAAUCCAGUUCCCCCUGCCUUCUGGUGGUGGUCAGAUGCAUAGCUUUCUCCUGGUCUGAAGCCCUGGCAUUUAAAGACAGAUAAGCAUUCUUUGUAUUCAUUAAAUGAGAGGAAGCUGCUGGAAAUGAGGACAGAAAUGGUGGCAUUGGGUCUGUAUUUACAUGCCUAACAGUAGCUCUGGGAUUUUAUCGCCUGUGGAUAUAAUAAAGUGUAUAUUUAAA